rnacentral:rRNA from 1 species
UUUUAUUUGAGAGUUUGAUCCUGGCCCAGGAUGAACGCUGGCGGCGUGCCUAACACAUGCAAGUUGAGCGAUUUACUUCGGUAAAGAGCGGCGGACGGGUGAGUAACGCGUGGGUAACCUACCCUGUACACACGGAUAACAUACCGAAAGGUAUGCUAAUACGGGAUAAUAUAUUUGAGAGGCAUCUCUUGAAUAUCAAAGGUGAGCCAGUACAGCCGCGCUGAAAAGUAACGACGUAACGUGACGACUAACAGCUGACCAGGGGGGCGGUCGGUAGCCGACGUGAGAGGGUGAUCGGCCACAUUGGAACUGAGAC